CCUUCUCUAAAAAUCUGAAGUUUAUUCAUUAGAAUUCGGUGAAAGGAACAUUCAGUUUAAAACACAGUCAGUACAUUAAAAAGUCGAGAGGAUGAGUAGCAACGAGACCAGAACAGAACAGAACAGCCCCGAACCUGGCACCUGGCAGGGCACAGGGCAACACACAGCAGGGCCAGAUGGGGCUCCCUGCACAGCCACGAUGGGGACAGAGGGACAGAGCUGGGGCUGUGCAGCUUCAUGGGCUCCCCUCAGUUCCUAUGUGCUGCGUGCACUGUGGGCCCUGGGAUCAGCUGCCAGGAGAGCUGCCAUCCCACCCCGCUCCAUCCUAAGGAACCCCAACAGUGCCUGUUUGUUAAGAGCUGCUGAAUUAAAGGACACAACAAUCCUUGUAGAGCCCAACAUUUCAGCCUGGAACUGCCACCUCCGCUGCUGUUGGCUCAGGGGAGGGGGGUUGGGGGAAGAAGGGACAAAUCUGCUUUCAGCUUUCCAGCAUUUCUUUUUGCACAUGAGCGCUGGGCAUUGUUCUCUGCUCAGCUCAUCAUCACAACCUUCUGCAGACCCCUAAAUUCAAGGCAAUGUUGUUCCACUCGUUUCCACAGCAGCCAGCAGCACCUUCAAGCCCUGUAAUGGCUGAAGGGGACUGAGGAGAGCCCGGUUUGGGACAACAUAAUUGAAGCACACAGAAGGGAAAGCCCCAGCUGAAAUCCACACGGGUUGGGUGUUCGUUUCAAGACAACCAACAAUACUUUCAGGGGAAAAAAAAAAAAUCACCACGGUGCACAAAUCCAAAACAAAGCUAAGAAACGAGGUGACAAGAGUGACAAACCAGUAUCAAAACAGACGUCCUGGCGGUGUCCACACAGAGCGUGCAGUGGCAGUGGAUUGGCUUCUUGUUUCCAGAGCUGCUCCUUUAGAUGACGCUGAACAUCACUCUGCACGGGGCUGUGGGGAGCAACGUGGGUCUCUUGCAUUGCACAGGCAGUGGCAGCAGCAGUGACAGCAAUAAACUGCUGUUUCUCCAUCAGAACUGUAAACCGCACCGUUUUGGAAACGCAUAACGUACGUAAGUAAAAGAACAGUCCGUAAAAUUUCCCCCAUGAAUAUAAAAUGCAAAACUAUACAAAAAUAGAUAAAAUCGACCGUUUUUCUUAUGUGUAUAUAUAAAAAAAAAUCAAACAAACAAAGUCCCCAAAACGCAAUACAGAGCUACUUGGUAGGCUGACCUGCUCAGAGGUUGAUGGGCAGCAAACAGCUCCAACCCACCUCUCCAAGGCUUUCCCUGGAUGCACUGAGCUCCAUGAGGUUUGGGGGGUGUUCCUCCGUACCUCAGCCAAAGCUACUCACUCCGAGCCAUGGGCCUCAUUUCUGUCUCAGCAGACCUCUUCUGCUCUCAAGUUGGGGUUCCUUAGGUAUGUCUAUAUAUUAUCAGGUUAGGAGACAAUGGCAUGAGGCAGAAAUGAGAAGCUGCAGCCCUUGGUGAGCGGUCUGACUGCGUCUAGCUCCAACGUGGUCCAAGGACUCUGGUGGGAAAUUCCUCCAUCACAUUUUUAGGAAAAUCAUGCUCAUUAUGAGGUCAGCAUUGGUCAAAGAGCUCCAAGAGCUCACAACCCAUAAGGGUGUCCUCCCAGGCCUCCACCCCAUACCACAGAGCAGCCAUGGGGUCCCACUCAGUGGGACGAUAACUUGCUCUAAGCACUCCCUAUGACACCAGAUCCUCUUCUGUUUGGCUUCAACAAAGGCUGGCCACUAAGCAUUCCCAGUCAUCAAUAAACAGCCUGACAUACAAGGACCAGACAGCAAAAAUCCUCAUCUCAACAAGAAAUAAUAAGACCCAUUUUGCUUAAGAAAACAAAACAGAAAAGCUCUUCAUGCCUCGGUACCCUACAACUGCAGCAACACCAGGGAGCUGCCCACAUUUCUGACCACAGCCACACGUGUACCUGGGCUGCAGGUGUGGGCAGCAGGCAGUGAGCUGCUCUGGGGCAGGACUCCGCUCCAAGCCAGCACCAAGCUGAGCCCUGCCAUCCCCACAGCAUGCCAGGCUUUGGAGAAGGGCAUCAUUGCACUAUUUCCAGUUUGUGAUGUAUUUAACCUUACAACCUUUGCUGCAAAGAGAAGCAGAAAAUAGGCAACUCGGGUAAAAGAAAACCUAAUUCAUCGGUAAUGAAAUUACAAUCAGUUGGACAGAAGUAGGAAGAAGUUUUGUAAACCACAAGAAAGGGACUCAUAGAAUAUCCCGAGUUGGAAGGGGCCCCUACAGAUCAUCAAAUCAGACUCCUGGCUCCACAAAGGACCACCCAAAAAUCAGACCUGUGUCUCAGAGCCAGACACUUGUUGAACUCUCAGCUCUCAGCCAUGCCCACCACCUUCUUGGUGCCCUGCCUAUGUUUUCUGAAGAGCUUGUAACCACCCACCACAGCACACCAGUCACAGGACUCUUCCCACCAGGUUUUGCUUAUACCAAUGAUGUUGUAGCUCUGGGACUGAGCCAAGGCUUCUAGUUCUUCUUGCUUGUCCCUUACACGGAGUGUGUUGGUGCAGAAGCAUUUCAGAUGCGCUUCAAAACCAGCACCUCGUGGAGCAGAAGGAAGGAUGUCAGUAGCACGCAGCCCCUCCAAUUGGGCUUCUCCCUUCAUCUUCAACACUGCCAGCUUGCACUACCAGAAGCGGGUAAUAACCAGAGGGCUGUACCAGACCAGAGAGUCAAUGACCCAGGCCCCAGGUUGGCAGCAGACUUCCUUGUGGGAAAGGGUCUGGUCAGCAUGCUGGGCCCUCAGUUCCACUCAGAACAGAGUCCCCUGUGACAACCACCCUUCUGUUCCUGGCAAAGGAAGUUUUGGUGUUUGUGGGUGACAGACACACUCUACAGAACCUCCUGGAUGGAUGUUCACCAACAUCCUCACCUGCCUUUCUUAAGUUCAAGAGCUGGAGCUGAUCAGCUCAAGGGAAGGUUUGGUUUAGAGAUUAACGUGCUGCAGAUCAACAAGGACACUGAGAACACCUUCAGGAAAGAUGCCAGCUCUGCUCUGCUAUCCUCUAACAGGUGUUUCCAAGAGCUCUGACAACCUCAGAUCGUUGGUCUCCUACGCUUGUGUUCCUUCUCCAUAUUUGUUCAAAAGAGGAAUUAAAAAAAGAAAAAGAAAAUCAAAAGCCUGCAGCAAUCUUCGGCAUUUUUGUUCCCUCCAGUUAGAAGGAAGAAGUUGUGAAGCCUAAUUUAGGCUGCGCUACAUCCUGUAUUCCAAGUAAUAGAAUACUUUGCUCGUAUGAGUUUAUGUAAAGAAAAUCAACACAAAAUGUAAAACAAAAAACAACACAGUGACUUUACAGCUACAGGCCCAAUGCAAAUUUAGCUUAUUUCACAGAAGUCGUACGCUUGCCCUUGGCCUGGGAGAGGCUUCAGCUGGAAAUAACACACCAUGAAGAGAGACCAUGGCAGAGAAAAGGGACUGACGCUUUGUUCUUGAAAGGGAAUCCAUCAAUAGAACAUCUCUCUGCAUGCUGUAUUCUUGAGCAAAUUAAAGUUAGAACUGGAAAACGUUAUCAACACGCACACAAAAACUUCUACUUCCCUUUUGGGCAGGAAAAGAGUUACAGCGCAGUUCCCCUUGCAGCUGAAUUGCCUCCUGUCCUCGCUCUCAAAAUAACCUGUGUCCUUCCUCUGCAGCUCCCCAGAUUAAGGACAAGAUGGAAGAUGUUAAAAGUUUGUUCAAAAAAA